UGCAAGUCGAGCGCGAACUCCGGGUUGACCGGCGGACGGGUUAGUAACGCGUGGGAACAUGCCCAAAGGUACGGAAUAGCCUCUGGAAACGGAGAGUAAUACCGUAUGUGCCCUUCGGGGGAAAGAUUUAUCGCCUUUGGAUUAGCCCGCGUUAGAUUAGGUAGUUGGUGGGGUAAUGGCCUACCAAGCCUACGAUCUAUAGCUGGUUUUAGAGGAUGAUCAGCAACACUGGGACUGAGACACGGCCCAGACUCCUACGGGAGGCAGCAGUGGGGAAUCUUGGACAAUGGGCGCAAGCCUGAUCCAGCCAUGCCGCGUGAGUGAUGAAGGCCUUAGGGUCGUAAAGCUCUUUCGCCAGGGAUGAUAAUGACAGUACCUGGUAAAGAAACCCCGGCUAACUCCGUGCCAGCAGCCGCGGUAAUACGGAGGGGGUUAGCGUUGUUCGGAAUUACUGGGCGUAAAGCGCGCGUAGGCGGAUCGGAAAGUUGGG
rnacentral:rRNA from 1 species